rnacentral:rRNA from 1 species
UACGUAGGGUGCAAGCGUUGUCCGGAAUUAUUGGGCGUAAAGAGCUCGUAGGCGGUUUGUCGCGUCGGAUGUGAAAACCCGGGGCUCAACCCCGGGCCUGCAUUGGAUACGGGCAGACUAGAGUUCGGUAGGGGAGUCUGGAAUUCCUGGUGUAGCGGUGAAAUGCGCAGAUAUCAGGAGGAACACCGGUGGCGAAGGCGGGACUCUGGGCCGAUACUGACGCUGAGGAGCGAAAGCGUGGGGAGCAAACAGG